AUAAAGGUCAUCUGGCUGUAGCAUCUGACACCCCAUUGGUUGCUAGGAUCAUUAUUAUUAAGAUCUGGCUAGCUAGGAAGAGGUCCCUUUCCUCCCUAACUACUUUAAAUGCAUCCAUUCCAGAGUGGCACACUCAGUCAAAGAGGACGGAUGACCUUCACAUUGGAGGAGUACCAGUCAUUGGCCAGAGGUAUAUGAAUAGCUGUGCUCACUGCUAGACCCUCCAAAGAUGUUCUCAAGUACUCUCAAGCAUGUAGCGCUCCAUCCAGAAAGAGAGCUAGCUGGUUGUCCUCU
rnacentral:snRNA from 1 species